CACACAAACCCCACAAACUACAAGUCCACCACCAGCUACAACACCUAAAAAUACAACAGCUCCCAACGUGUCAAACCAAAUUGUUAUUUUGAGAAUGAAGCUUUCCUCUCCAUCUCCACUAUCUGAAGAGUACAUCAGGAGUAUCGUUUUACAACAGAUUAAAGAUGAACUGGUGAGACAAG